rnacentral:tRNA from 1 species
GAGGGCGUAGUUCAAGUGGUAGAGCACAUGCUUACCAUGCAAGAGGAUCUGGGUUCAAUCCCCAGUACCUCCU